CUGGAGCUUGCUCCGGCCGAUUUAGUGGCGGACGGGUGAGUAACGCGUGGGUAACCUGCCUCAUACAGGGGGAUAACAGUUGGAAACGACUGCUAAUACCGCAUGACACAUAGAGAUCGCAUGGUUUUUAUGUCAAAGAUUUAUCGCUGAUAGAUGGGCUCGCGUCCGAUUAGAUAGUUGGUGAGGUAACGGCUCACCAAGUCGACGAUCGGUAGCCGGACUGAGAGGUUGAACGGCCACAUUGGGACUGAGACACGGACCAAACUCC
rnacentral:rRNA from 1 species